CCUACGGGUGGCAGCAGUGGGGGAUAUUGCACAAUGGGGGAAACCCUGAUGCAGCGACGCCGCGUGAGUGAAGAAGUAUUUCGGGAUGUAAAGCUCUAUCAGCAGGGAAGAAAAUGACAGUACCUGACCAAUAAGCCCCGGCUAACUCCGUGCCAGCAACCGCGGUCCUACGUAGGGGGCAAGCGUUAUCCGGAUUUACGGGGUGUAACGGGAGCGUAGACGGUUAUGUAAGUCUGGAGUGAAAGCCGGGGGCCCAACCCCGGGACUGCUUUGGAAACUGUGUAACUGGAGUACAGGAGGGGCAGGCGGGAUUCCUGGUGUAGCGGUGAAAUGCGUAGAUAUCAGGAGGAACACCGGCGGCGAAGGCGGCCUGCUGGACUGAAACUGACGUUGAGGCUCGAAAGCGUGGGGAGCAAACAGGAUUAGAUACCCCAGUAGUC
rnacentral:rRNA from 1 species